rnacentral:rRNA from 1 species
AUUGAACGCUGGCGGCAGGCCUAACACAUGCAAGUCGAGCGAGCGGCGGACGGGUGAGUAAUGUAUGGGGACUGCCCGAUAGAGGGGGAUAACUACUGGAAACGGUAUCUAAUACCGCAUACUAUCGGAUAACCCAUAGGGGAUUUGCUAGUAGGUGAAGGAAUGGCUCACAUAGGCGACGAUCCCUUGCUGGUCUGAGAGGAUGAUCAGGCAGAGAGGGCCGGAGACAAGACCCUGAAUCAUACGGAGACAGAGGUGGGGAAUAUAGCACAGUGGGCGCUACCCUGGUGCAGCCAUGCGGGGUGUAUGAUGAAGGCCCUAGGGUUGUAAAGUACUUGCAGUCGGGGGGCGUUACCGACAGAAGAGGAACCGGCUAACUCCGUGCCAGCAGCCGAGGAAAUAC